UACGAAGGGGGCUAGCGUUGCUCGGAAUCACUGGGCGUAAAGCGCACGUAGGCGGAUUCUUAAGUCAGGGGUGAAAUCCUGGAGCUCAACUCCAGAACUGCCUUUGAUACUGAAGAUCUUGAGUUCGGGAGAGGUGAGUGGAACUGCGAGUGUAGAGGUGAAAUUCGUAGAUAUUCGCAAGAACACCAGUGGCGAAGGCGGCUCACUGGCCCGAUACUGACGCUGAGGUGCGAAAGCGUGGGGAGCAAACAGG
rnacentral:rRNA from 1 species